rnacentral:tRNA from 1 species
AUAUAUAUGGCUAAGUGGUUAGAGCAUUGAGCUUACGAUCGUGAUGCUGUGAGUUCGAUUCCCUAUAUAUAUA